rnacentral:rRNA from 1 species
CUUAACAUGCAAGUCGAACGAAGCACCCUCGCGACGGAGUUUUCGGACAACGAAAGAGACUGCUUAGUGGCGGACGGGUGAGUAACGCGUGAGUAACCUGCCUUGGAGUGGGGAAUAACACCGGGAAACCGGUGCUAAUACCGCAUAAUGCAUCGAGAUCACAUGGUUUUGAUGCCNAAGAUUUAUCGCUCUGAGAUGGACUCGCGUCUGAUUAGCUAGUUGGUAGGGUAACGGCCUACCAAGGCGACGAUCAGUAGCCGGACUGAGAGGUUGACCGGCCACAUUGUGACUGAGAUACGGCCCAGACUCCUACGGGAGGCAGCAGUCGGGAAUAUUGCGCAAUGGAGGAAACUCUGACGCAGUGACGCCGCGUAUAGGAAGAAGGUUUUCGGAUUGUAAACUAUUGUCGUUAGGGAAGAAAAAAGACAGUACCUAAGGAGGAAGCUCCGGCUAACUAUGUGCCAGCAGCCGCGGUAAUACAUAGGGAGCAAGCGUUAUCCGGAAUUAUUGGGUGUAAAGGGUGCGUAGAUGGGACUGCAAGUUAGUUGUGAAAUCCCUCGGCUUAACUGAGGAAUUGCAACUAAAACUAUAGUUCUUGAGUGCAGGAGAGGUAAGUGGAAUUCCUAGUGUAGCGGUGAAAUGCGUAGAUAUUAGGAGGAACACCAGUGGCGAAGGCGACUUACUGGACUGUAACUGACAUUGAGGCACGAAAGUGUGGGGAGCAAACAGGAUUAGAUACCCUGGUAGUCCACACUGUAAACGAUGGAUACUAGGUGUAGGGAGGGAUUCCUUUCUGUGCCGAAAGCAAACGCAAUAAGUAUCCCACCNUGGGGAGUACGGCCGCAAGGCUGAAACUCAAGGAAUUGACGGGGCCCCCCACANCCGUGGGGUAUGUGGUUUANUUCGANGCANCCCCAGAAUCUUACCAGGAUUGACNUGCAAACAAUACUGUANAAAUACNGUAAACUUNCGGAACUCUGUGC